rnacentral:rRNA from 1 species
AGAGUUUGAUCCUGGCUCAGAACGAACGCUGGCGGCGUGGCUAAGGCAUGCAAGUCGAACGGGCAUAGUUUUUGGGUAACCGAGUUCUAUGCUAGUGGCGAACGGGUGAGGAAUACAUGGACAACGUGCCCCGUGCACAGGGAUAGCGGCGGGUCGGGCUUCCUUUGCGAAAGCGCCGGUAAUACCUGAUGAUCCCGCGGAAUCUCCUGGUUCUGCGGGCAAAGCUCCGGCGGCGUGGGAGCGGUCCAUGUCCUAUCAGCUUGUUGGUGGGGUAACGGCCUACCAAGGCAACGACGGGUACCGGGUGUGAGAGCAUGACCCGGCACAUCGGGACUGAGACACUGCCCGGACACCUACGGGUGGCUGCAGCAACGAAUAUUCCGCAAUGGGCGAAAGCCUGACGGAGCGACGCCGCGUGUAGGAUGAAGUCCCUCGGGAUGUAAACUACUGUCAGGGGUUAGGAAGACCUGACCACGAACAAUCCUUGGGGUUGACGGUACCGCCAGAGGAAGCCCCGGCUAACUACGUGCCAGCAGCCGCGGUAAUACGUAGGGGGCAAGCGUUGCUCGGAUUUACUGGGCGUAAAGAGCGCGUAGGCGGCCAGGUAAGUCCGGUGUGAAAUUCCUCGGCUCAACCGAGGGCCCGCAUCGGAAACUACUUGGCUUGAGUCCAGGAGAGGAGGGUGGAAUUCCCGGUGUGCGGUGAAAUGCGUAGAUAUCGGGAGGAACACCAGUGGCGAAGGCGGCCCUCUGGAAUGGUACUGACGCUGAGGCGCGAAAGCUGGGGGAGCGAACGGGAUUAGAUACCCCGGUAGUCCCAGCCGUAAACGAUGGGCACUAGGUGUGGGAGGUAUUGACCCCUUCCGUGCCGCAGUUAACGCAUUAAGUGCCCCGCCUGGGGAGUACGGCCGCAAGGUUGAAACUCAAAUUGACGGGGGCCCGCACAAGCGGUGGAGCAUGUGGUUUAAUUCGACGCAACGCGAAGAACCUUACCAGGGCUUGACAUGCCGGUAGUACCAACCUGAAAGGGAAGGGAUCCCGCAAGGGAAGCCGGCACAGGUGGUGCAUGGCUGUCGUCAGCUCGUGUCGUGAGAUGUUGGGUUAAGUCCCGCAACGAGCGCAACCCUCACCCUCUGUUACCAGCGGGUUAUGCCGGGCACUCUGAGGGAACUGCCCCGGUCAACGGGGAGGAAGGCGGGGACGACGUCAAGUCAUCAUGCCCCUUACGUCCUAGGCUACACACGUGACAAUGGCGGGUACAGAGGGUCGCAAGGCCGUGAGGUCAAGCCAAUCCCAAAAAGCCCGUCCCAGUCCGGAUUGAAGGCUGAAAUUCGCCUUCAUGAAGUCGGAAUCGCUAGUAAUCGCAGAUCAGCCAUGCUGCGGUGAAUAUGUUCCUGAGCCUUGUACACACCGCCCGUCAAGCCAUGGGAGCCGGGAGUGCCCGAAGUCGCGAUCCCAACCGUCAAGGAGGGUAGCGCCGAAGGCAAGCUGGUGACUGGGACUAAGUCGUAACAAGGUAACC